rnacentral:tRNA from 1 species
GCACUUUUAGUAUAAUUAGUAUUUUAGUUUUAGAUUCUAAAGGUUUUAGUGUA